rnacentral:rRNA from 1 species
UACGAAGGGGGCUAGCGUUGCUCGGAAUCACUGGGCGUAAAGCGCACGUAGGCGGAUUGUUAAGUCAGGGGUGAAAUCCUGGAGCUCAACUCCAGAACUGCCCUUGAAACUGGAGAGCUAGAAUCUUGGAGAGGCGAGUGGAAUUCCGAGUGUAGAGGUGAAAUUCGUAGAUAUUCGGAAGAACACCAGUGGCGAAGGCGACUCGCUGGACAAGUAUUGACGCUGAGGUGCGAAAGCGUGGGGAGCAAACAGG